CAGCCGCCGCGGUAAUACGUAGGUGGCAAGCGUUGUCCGGAAUUAUUGGGCGUAAAGGGCUCGCAGGCGGUUUCUUGAGUCUGAUGUGAAAGCCCCCGGCUCAACCGGGGAGGGUCAUUGGAAACUGGGAAACUUGAGUGCAGAAGAGGAGAGUGGAAUUCCACGUGUAGCGGUGAAAUGCGUAGAGAUGUGGAGGAACACCAGUGGCGAAGGCGACUCUCUGGUCUGUAACUGACGCUGAGGAGCGAAAGCGUGGGGAGCGAACAGGAUUAGAGACCCCUGUAGUCCCUGUCUCUUAUAC
rnacentral:rRNA from 1 species